rnacentral:tRNA from 1 species
GGGCGUAUAGCUCAGCGGGAGAGCGCUUCCCUGACACGGAAGAGGUCACAGGUUCAAUCCCUGUUACGCCCACCA